rnacentral:rRNA from 1 species
GACGAACGCUGGCGGCGUGCUUAACACAUGCAGGUCGAACGAUGAAGCCGGAGCUUGCUCUGGUGAAUUAGUGGCGAACGGGUGAGUAACACGUGAGUAACCUGCCCUUGACUCUGGGAUAACUGCGGGAAACUGUAGCUAAUACCGGAUACGACCCUCGGAGGCAUCUCCUGGGGGUGGAAAGAAUUUCGGUCAAGGAUGGACUCGCGGCCUAUCAGCUAGUUGGUGAGGUAAAGGCUCACCAAGGCGACGACGGGUAGCCGGCCUGAGAGGGUGACCGGCCACCAUGGGACUGAGACACGGCCCAGACUCCUACGGGAGGCAGCAGUGGGGAAUAUUGCACAAUGGGCGCAAGCCUGAUGCAGCAGCGCCGCGUGAGGGAUGACGGCCUUCGGGUUGUAAACCUCUUUUAGCAGGGAAGAAGCGAAAGUGACGGUACCUGCAGAAAAAGCACCGGCUAACUACGUGCCAGCCGCCGCAGUAA